UUUGUGGGCUAACAGAACUCAUUCCUGGGCUGAUUCUGACAGGGAUAGGUUACCAUACAAACAGAAACUACUGCAAGCUCUUCUGUUGCAGAAACCUUGCAAAAGUGAACCUUUUCAAUUACUUAAAACUCAGUUCCUUUAAAUUAUUUAUUCACUUCCUGGGAGAAGAAAAGGUUUCCCUGUCCUAAUCAUAGUACUCAAUACAUUGGAAAUUCUGAAGGCACAAAUUGCCAGUUACUUACUACAUUAUUUGUGGUUUCAGCUUAGAGACUGCUGAUGAAAACAGGAUGUUUUUCUCUUGACUUCCCUGGGCUGUGGAAGGAUCUUAAAAUCAACAGCAGGACAUUUGUAAAUGAGACAUUUUCCUUGGAGAAUUUCUUGGCUGAAAAUGAAGGCUGACUCCUACUUGCUUUAAUGCCUCCUCUCCUAUUACAAGAAUGCAGAAGAAGGCUUGGUACAGUUAAAAAUGAUAGCACCACCCUUGGUUUCUUUUCAGCUGCAUAAAUAUAUAGAGAUUCCACAAAUCACAACCAUUAACACCAAAGAUCAGCUAUUCCCUGAUUCUAGUCAGUAGUUUACCAAUAGCACAUACUUCAAAAUACUGUUCAGUCAAGAAGCCAUUGGAGUACAGCCCACAGUGCAGUAAAUGAGAUUCCCGAAGACAGUUCAUGUGCUGUGGUCUGAAGUCAGCUAGUAUCAGAUGUUUGCCGCCUCAUUUAUUUUGAUUAAUUGCUUCAGUGGGGGUGGACAAAAGGGGAAGCUGAAAAUCCGCAUGGGGGGAAGCAGAACUGUUUUAUGCUGUCUCUGUGCUUCAGAAGUAAACAAGCUAUGAAGCUUUGCAGUCUUCACUCCCUUUGACUCUCUCACACUUUGCAAGAAAGAUUCCUCAUACUGUUAAGAGUGAUGCAAAACACCCUGACAGACCUGUGGUGGUGUUUGCUUUGUGAACCAGUGUCAUCUUUGGAGAAAGGCUUGGAACUGCUAACAGCAGUGAUCUGGGAUCAUUGGGUUGUUUUGGAGAUGUUUGAUC